UACAUGAGCGACAAGCAUUAUCCGCAAUUAUUGGGUGUAGGGGAUGCGUAGAUGGUUUAUAAAGUUUUGUUUUAACUAAAAAAAAAAUCUUUUAAUUUUACAAAAACUAUAAACUAGAGUUUAUUAGGAGUAAAUAUAUCUAUAAAUGAGCGAUAAAAUGCGAAAAAUUUAUAGUUUAUACCAAUGGUGAAAACAAUUUACUAUAAUAAACUGACAUUGAGGCAUGAAAGUAUAGUUAUCAAACAGG
rnacentral:rRNA from 1 species